rnacentral:rRNA from 1 species
AGGGUUUGAUUAUGGCUCAGGAUGAACGCUGGCGGUAUGCCUUAUACAUGCAAGUCGUACGAGAAUUUUGAAUUCUAGUGGCGGACGGGUGAGUAACACGUAAGAAUUUACCUUUAGGAGGGGGAUAACAACUGGAAACGGUUGCUAAUACCCCAUAUGCUCAUAUAUUUUUGAGUGAAAUGGUUAGCCGCCUGGAGAGAAGCUUGCGGCUGAUUAGCUUGUUGGUAAGGUAAUUGCUUACCAAGGCGACGAUCAGUAUCUGGUUUGAGAGGACGAUCAGACACACUGGAACUGAGACACGGUCCAGACUCCUGCGGGAGGCAGCAGUAGGGAAUUUUCCGCAAUGGGCGAAAGCCUGACGGAGCAAUACCGCGUGAGGGAUGACUGCCUAUGGGUUGUAAACCUCUUUUUUCAGGGAGGAUAAUUUAAGACGUGUACCUGAAGAAUAAGCAUCGGCUAACUCCGUGCCAGCAGCCGCGGUAAUACGGAGGAUGCAAGUGUUAUCCGGAAUCACUGGGCGUAAAGCGUCUGUAGGUGGUUUAAUAAGUCAACUGUUAAAUAUUACAGCUCAACUGGAGAAUUGCAGUCGAAACUAUUAAACUAGAGUAUAUUAGAGGUAAAGGGAAUUUUCAGUGAAGCGGUGAAAUGCGUAGAUAUUGGAAAGAACACCGAUGGCGAAGGCACUUUACUGGGCUAUAACUGACACUCAGAGACGAAAGCUAGGGUAGCAAAUGGGAUUAGAUACCCCAGUAGUCCUAGCUGUAAACAAUGGAUACUAGGCGUUGAACAGAUCGACCUGUGCAGUACUAAAGCUAACGCGUUAAGUAUCCCGCCUGGGAAGUAUGCACGCAAGUGUGAAACUCAAAGGAAUUGACGGGGGCCCGCACAAGCGGUGGAGCAUGUGGUUUAAUUCGAUGCGACGCGAAGAACCUUACCAGGGUCUGACAUGAUAUGAAUUUUUUUGAAAGAAAAAAGUGCCUUUUGGAACAUAUACACAGGUGGUGCAUGGCUGUCGUCAGCUCGUGUCGUGAGAUGUUGGGUUAAGUCCCGCAACGAGCGCAACCCUUAUUUUUAGUUGCCGUUUGGAACUCUAGAAAGACUGCCGGUUAUAAACCGGAGGAAGGCGGGGAUGACGUCAAGUCAGCAUGCCCCUUACGCCCUGGGCUACACACGUGCUACAAUGGGCAAGACAAUAAGUUGCAAACUUGUAAAAGUUAGCUAAUCUAUAAACUUGUUCUAAGUUCGGAUUGUAGGCUGCAACUCGCCUACAUGAAGUUGGAAUCGCUAGUAAUCGCUGGUCAGCUAUACAGCGGUGAAUUCGUUCCCGGGCCUUGUACACACCGCCCGUCACACCAUGGAAGCUGGUUAUACCCGAAGUCGUUACUCUAACCUUUACUUUAUUUAAGGAGGAGGAUGCCUAAGGUAGAAUUAGUGACUGGGGUGAAGUCGUAACAAGGUAGCC